UGGCUCUCGCAUCGAUGAAGAACGCAGCGAAAUGCGAUACGUAAUGUGAAUUGCAGAAUUCAGUGAAUCAUCGAAUCUUUGAACGCACCUUGCACCCCGUGGUUCUCCACGGGGUACGCCCGUUCGAGUGUCACGUAAACCAUCGCCAAAGUGAAGCUUGCUUUGCUCUGGCGGAUCUGGACGCCUGCCGUUGUUGGCUCGUCCGAAAUGCAUUAGCGAGGGUGGUCUCCCUAAGCCGCUUGGCGUGAUAUUUCCUUCUCGCCUGUUGGUCGGUCUAGGAGACGGCUCUGCUCCGAAUCCCGUCGCGUCGACGGAACAUUACAAAGUUUGACCUCGAAUCGGGUGGGACUACCCGCUGA
rnacentral:misc_RNA from 1 species